CUAUAAUCGUUUUAAUCGAUGGGGGGACGCAGUAGGAUAGGCGAAGCGUGCGAUUGGAUUGCACGUCUAAGCAGUAAGGCUGAGUAUUAGGCAAAUCCGGUACUCAUUAAGGCUGAGCUGUGAUGGGGAGAAGACAUUGUGUCUUCGAGUCGUUGAUUUCACACUGCCGAGAAAAGCCUCUAGAUAGAAAAUAGGUGCCCGUACCGCAAACCGACACAGGUAGUCAAGAUGAGAAUUCUAAGGUGAGCGAGCGAACUCUCGUUAAGGAACUCGGCAAAAUGACCCCGUAACUUCGGGAGAAGGGGUGCUCUUUAGGGUUAACGCCCAGAAGAGCCGCAGUGAAUAGGCCCAAGCGACUGUUUAUCAAAAACACAGGUCUCUGCUAAACCGUAAGGUGAUGUAUAGGGGCUGACGCCUGCCCGGUGCUGGAAGGUUAAGAGGAGUGGUUAGCUUCUGCGAAGCUACGAAUCGAAGCCCCAGUAAACGGCGGCCGUAACUAUAACGGUCCUAAGGUAGCGAAAUUCCUUGUCGGGUAAGUUCCGACCCGCACGAAAGGCGUAACGAUUUGGGCACUGUCUCAACGAGAGACUCGGUGAAAUCAUAGUACCUGUGAAGAUGCAGGUUACCCGCGACAGGACGGAAAGACCCCGUGGAGCUUUACUGUAGCCUGAUAUUGAAAUUCGGCACAGCUUGUACAGGAUAGGUAGGAGCCUUUGAAACGUGAGCGCUAGCUUACGUGGAGGCGCUGGUGGGAUACUACCCUAGCUGUGUUGGCUUUCUAACCCGCACCACUUAUCGUGGUGGGAGACAGUGUCAGGCGGGCAGUUUGACUGGGGCGGUCGCCUCCUAAAAGGUAACGGAGGCGCUCAAAGGUUCCCUCAGAAUGGUUGGAAAUCAUUCAUAGAGUGUAAAGGCAUAAGGGAGCUUGACUGCGAGACCUACAAGUCGAGCAGGGUCGAAAGACGGACUUAGUGAUCCGGUGGUUCCGCAUGGAAGGGCCAUCGCUCAACGGAUAAAAGCUACCCCGGGGAUAACAGGCUUAUCUCCCCCAAGAGUUCACAUCGACGGGGAGGUUUGGCACCUCGAUGUCGGCUCAUCGCAUCCUGGGGCUGUAGUCGGUCCCAAGGGUUGGGCUGUUCGCCCAUUAAAGCGGUACGCGAGCUGGGUUCAGAACGUCGUGAGACAGUUCGGUCCCUAUCCGUCGUGGGCGUAGGAAAUUUGAGAGGAGCUGUCCUUAGUACGAGAGGACCGGGAUGGACAUACCUCUGGUGUACCAGUUGUCGUGCCAACGGCAUAGCUGGGUAGCUAUGUGUGGACGGGAUAAGUGCUGAAAGCAUCUAAGCAUGAAGCCCCCCUCAAGAUGAGAUUUCCCAACUUCGGUUAUAAGAUCCCUCAAAGAUGAUGAGGUUAAUAGGUUCGAGGUGGAAGCAUGGUGACAUGUGGAGCUGACGAAUACUAA
rnacentral:rRNA from 1 species